rnacentral:RNase_P_RNA from 1 species
AAAGUCGGGUAAUCGCCUUAUGCAAUAUGUAUGGGGAGGAAAGUCCGGACACCAACAAGUGCCGCGCUCUGCGAUCCUUCGGGCGUAGCAGAGGCUCUUUAUCAGGAAUGGUAUCGAGAUAGACAGUGCAACAGAAAACAGACUACCUCAUUUCGAUGAGGAAAAGGUGAAAAGGUGAGGUAAGAGCUCACCGCUCCAAGGGCGACUGAGGAGGCACGGUAAACCUCGCGGGGUGCAAGCUCAUGUAAGAUGGUAUACGCCGCUUGUCGUGACGCUAUCGGGUGGAGUGCACUAGAUAAAUGAUUACCGAAUCUGCCUUUGGCGGAGGAACAAAAUCCGGCUUAUAGACUUUCCU